rnacentral:misc_RNA from 1 species
AGUCGUAACAAGGUCUCCGUAGGUGAACCUGCGGAGGGAUCAUUACAAGUGACCCCGGUUUACCACCGGGAUGUUCAUAACCCUUUGUUGUCCGACUCUGUUGCCUCCGGGGCGACCCUGCCUUCGGGCGGGGGCUCCGGGUGGACACUUCAAACUCUUGCGUAACUUUGCAGUCUGAGUAAACUUAAUUAAUAAAUUAAAACUUUUAACAACGGAUCUCUUGGUUCUGGCAUCGAUGAAGAACGCAGCGAAAUGCGAUAAGUAAUGUGAAUUGCAGAAUUCAGUGAAUCAUCGAAUCUUUGAACGCACAUUGCGCCCCCUGGUAUUCCGGGGGGCAUGCCUGUUCGAGCGUCAUUUCACCACUCAAGCCUCGCUUGGUAUUGGGCAACGCGGUCCGCCGCGUGCCUCAAAUCGACCGGCUGGGUCUUCUGUCCCCUAAGCGUUGUGGAAACUAUUCGCUAAAGGGUGCUCGGGAGGCUACGCCGUAAAACAACCCCAUUUCUAAGGUUGACCUCGGAUCAGGUAGGGAUACCCGCUGAACUUAAGCAUAUCAAUAAGCGGAAGA